rnacentral:rRNA from 1 species
ACGCUCGACACCUACGGGAGGUAGCAGUAGGGAAUCUUCCACAAUGGACGCAAGUCUGAUGGAGCAACGCCGCGUGAGUGAAGAAGGUCUUCGGAUCGUAAAACUCUGUUGUUAGAGAAGAACACGAGUGAGAGUAACUGUUCAUUCGAUGACGGUAUCUAACCAGCAAGUCACGGCUAACUACGUGCCAGCAGCCGAGGUAAUCUGAGCGGGCUGGCAAGGC